GGGAGACAGAGAGGAGUUGAGAGACAGAGAGAGAUGUUGUGUUGGGAGAAAGAGAGAGGUGUUGUGGUGUGUUGGGAGACAGGGAGAUGUGAUGGGUUGUGAUCGGAGACAGAUAGGCUUUGGGAGACAGAGAGAGGUGUUGUGGUGUGUUGGGAGACAUAGAGAGGUUUUGUGGUGUGUUUUGAUACGGAGAGAGGUGUUGUGGUGGUUGGGAGACAGAGAGGGGUUUUUGGAGACAGAGAGAGGUGGUGUGUUGGGAGACAGAGAGAGAUGGUGUGUUGGGAGACAGAGAGAGGUGUUGUGAUGUGUUUUUUGACAAAGAAGUAUUGUUAUGUGUUGAGAU
rnacentral:lncRNA from 1 species